CUGGCUCAGAUUGAACGCUGGCGGCAUGCCUUACACAUGCAAGUCGAACGGCAGCACGGGAGCAAUCCUGGUGGCGAGUGGCGAACGGGUGAGUAAUACAUCGGAACGUGUCCUGUAGUGGGGGAUAGCCCGGCGAAAGCCGGAUUAAUACCGCAUACGCUCUACGGAGGAAAGGGGGGGAUCUUAGGACCUCUCGCUACAGGGGCGGCCGAUGGCAGAUUAGCUAGUUGGUGGGGUAAAGGCCUACCAAGGCGACGAUCUGUAGCUGGUCUGAGAGGACGACCAGCCACACUGGGACUGAGACACGGCCCAGACUCCUACGGGAGGCAGCAGUGGGGAAUUUUGGACAAUGGGCGCAAGCCUGAUCCAGCAAUGCCGCGUGUGUGAAGAAGGCUUCGGGUUGUAAAGCACUUUUGUCCGGAAAGAAAACUCUGGGUUAAUACCCCGGGGGGAUGACGGUACCGGAAGAU
rnacentral:rRNA from 1 species